AUAAUAAAUUGUUCUUUAAUUAGAUUCUAGGAUGAAUGGGAUAAUGAGAUAAAAUCUUUAUUUUUUAAAUAAAUUGAAAUUAAUUAUUAAAUAAAAAGGUUUAAAUAUUUUUUAAAGACGAAAAGACCCUAAAGAAUUUAAAUAUAAAUAUAAUUAAAUUUUUAAAUAAAUUUUUUAUUGUAUAAUUAUAUUUUAAUUGGGGAGAUUAUUAAAUUUAAUGAACUUUAUAUUAUUAAUCAAUAAUUAUUGAAUUUUUGAUAAGUUAAUAAAUAGAAAAAUUACCUUA
rnacentral:rRNA from 1 species